rnacentral:miRNA from 1 species
GUGUAUCUGCCAGAAGUUGUAGUGGUUAAGGCCAGGCGUGGUGGUGCAUGCCAGCACUCGGGAGGCUGAGGCAGGAGGAU